GGAAGAAGCUGGUGGAUCCAAAUAUCUGCUUCCUGCCUCCACCCACCCCUCCCCGCUCCCGUGGUUGGGGAACUCCAGAGUCCCACAUCACAGUUCAGCAUGUGCCUCAGGAGCUUCAGCAAGUCUUUCGUGGAAGGAGAGUCUGCCGGUGACGGGGGAAGCAGGCCAUCAGCCCGCCCAGCUUCAUCUCAGGCCGCUUCCAACACCGCCAAGCAAACUCCCUUGGCAAGAUCCAUGCAAGGCCGCGGCUGACCACCGGGAGGCAGCAGCCUACUCUGCAAGGCACUUUCUUUACCCGACCCCCACCCCCUUUUAACAGGUGGCAGGAAACCUGCUGGCCCAGCCAUCUGCCGCACCCACCCUUCACUCCCAGUCCCAUCUCCCCAUAGCACAGAUUUCCCUAUCAUGAGCCCUGACGUGACCUGGGUGUCCUCUUGCCUUCCUCUGCCCAAGGAAUUCCUACAGAGAUUCUUUCUCUAUCCUCCUUUGUACAUUUCCAAGGAAUUGUUUCCCCAGGGCCCCUCCCCUUGAAGAAAUUAGACAGGAAGCUGGAGUAGAUGGUUCCCUCUUUCCCACCUCUCACACUCCCAAGCUCUGGUUAACUCUCUGUGGGCCAGUGGCUAGAUUCCCCAACACAGAUGACAACUGAACAAUACACAUGCAGCGUAAGAAUGUUGUCGCUGCCACCAGCCACUUACAGAUACACCAUUGCUAAGGUCCACCCAACUGGACUGUUUCCCCCUCCCAUAGACUAAGCCCCAAAGGCCAAAAAGUAAAACCCGCUACCCCAAACCUGCCUGUAACUGUUUGACCAGAGGCCAGCUGUCCCAGGAUGCGGUUAAGACGUCUACUUUGCACAAGAGAACUGGCAAGAAAAACAUCUCCAGGAAGCGGUCAGACACAUGGCACAAAGGACCCCCCCCCUUUUCUUUUUCCUUCACCCUGAUCCAGUUCUAUGUCCUAUAAAACCUUGCUCUAGCCUAUAAGUGGG
rnacentral:lncRNA from 1 species